UGCAGGUGUCAGAGUAGUUGUUUCUGCCAUUGAUGGGAGACUCAGCUCAUCAGAGAGUCUAGAUACAGAUGAAUGUGAAGCUGCCCUUGAAGCAUAAGGUCAAAUUGGAUUAUCAACUCAGGGAGCUGAGUUAUUGUUGUCGAGCACAUAUCCUGUUGCAAGACAUGUAGUGUAUGCUGCCUUUGACAGACAAGGACGUGGUAAACAGCUGGCUGCAUUGCAUGCACUGGGAAAUUUGGCUGGAGAUGCUCGGUCAGAUAAUAGUGUAAUACUGAAUGGUUCCGCAGAAGAAACCCUUAGACUCUUGAUAUAUGAGGCUGCAUCCAGGAGUCCA